CUAUUCACCGUCUGUGAUAGUAUGAAGUUCUAGUUGAUACUAUCCACCAUCACUUGAUGACACAGAACAUGAAGCUAUGCGUAUAAGUUCUGUUUGGUUACAUUUAUAAUCUGGUCAUAGAGAGAACGAUCAGAAUGCUAAACAACAAAAGAUGUUAACUAUGGAGAUACUAAGAAAUCAAAAAUUGAAAAACAUUGUCGAAGAAACAAUGCAAAAAUCUUAUUCGGAGUAUUCAAUCGUGUUAUCCCUGGGUUGAAUAGUGUAUUAUCAAAUCAUACCGCUUUAUUGUUGAUCGUGCUAUUGUGAAGAGUGUAUUAUCAAAUCACAGUGUAGUGAAUUUCGAAUCGAUCACUAUGACUCAUAGAUACCUGGGUUGAAGAGUGUAGUAUAUAUUAAAUCAUACAAUUUUGGGGUUAA